CUUAUUUAUUUAGCGCCAGGCCCAAAAGAGGGUGACGAGGACUAUGGUUAUCGAAAGAUUCGGCGGAUGCCAUAGCGGAUUUGUGAAUCGUAAGAAAUACUUUUAAAAGAUAAAAUUGAAAUUAUAACAAAGAAGUAUUUCACACAGUUA
rnacentral:ncRNA from 2 species